CAAGUUAAUAUCCAUUUAUUUUUUUAGCUUUAAAAUCAGCAAAAAUCAGCUUAUUUUCUCUUCAUGUGGCCGGCCAUAGCAAGAACAAAGAGAGGAAAAGAAAAACAAGAAACCUAGGUGGGAAAAUUAAAGAAAAAGUGUGGGAUUUCAAGGAAUCAAGCAAUCAAAGGUAAAAUUUCUUGAUUUUGACUUGUGAUCUACCUUUCCCAUGCUUUUCUCCUUAUUUUCCAUGGUUAGAUUUCAUGUUUUCAUGGUGAAUUCAUGGCUGCCCAAAUGGGUAUGGAGAGAGAAUGAAGUUAGAUUGAUUUGAUUUUAAGUUAUGUUAGUGUUUUAAGUUAGUUUAGCAUAUUUAGAAACAAAACAACAAGAAAAGAAUUCAUUUUCCCCCAUUACCAUCAUUGGCCGAAUUUCCUAGGGAGAAUAUUGUGGCUGAAUUUGAUGAUAUUUCAUGAUAUUUUGGUGAUAUUUGAUGUUUGGUGAGGCUAGAAAUUAAAUGGGAAAUUUUAGUGUGAAAAUACGAAUUUUUGCUCAACAUAUAGACAUGUGUAAUUAUUGACUCGGGAUCGAUAAAUUGAACCUCAUUCACAUUCACUGAGGUAAUUUAGGUAUAAUUGGAGCAUAGAAAGUGAAAAGAAUUGAUUUGGAGUUAAAUUGAAGAUUUUAGCCGAUUAGACCGAGAAUAGCACGAAUUAGGUCGAAUACCGUAUUUAAACAGCUAUUCGGACAUUUUUGCAUUCCAUAUCAUGCAUUAGUAGUCUAAAUUAGUUUAAUUUCAAUUUAGUAUCAAUGUGGUGAAUUUCUCAAUUUUGUACUGUGUCAAGGUGGUGUGUCCUCCGAUAAAGGAAAGGAAAUUGCAUCCGAGGACCAGUAGAUAGAGUACUUCAAAAGUCUGCAUUCUAGACAUUGUGAGUAAACUUACUGUCAUUUUAAUUAUCUAGGGUGGUUUUUAGAUGAUUUCAUGAAUUCUAUGAAAAAAUGGAUUUAAAAGGUAAAUUUUCAUGUUUUAUGAAUAAAGGUGUUCCAAUGAAAUUAAAUUAUAAAUUGUUUUGAAACUAAUAAUGAUUUUGAAAAAAAUAGAGUACAUGGAGACUGUUAAUUGUGGCAAUUUGAUUGUUUAAAUUGAUGGCUUAUGUUAUAUUGUUAUUGUGUUGGCAUGACUGGCUGGAUUGUGUUUUAUGAAUUGUAUGAAUUGUUUUAUUUUACCCUUACAGGCUGGGUAGUAUUUCAUUAGCCCUGUCAUGCCAUCAAAAUUUUAUUAUAUGGUGGAUAUAUAUUAAUUAAUCACUGCAGUAGGAGGCUUCUGUGGACCAAGCUUUUAGAGGGGCACAGUAAACCCCAUUAUAUUCUUAGCUCGAACGGAGAGGUGCAUAAGGUAUCUCCUGGGGUAAAGUUUAGGGUUCACUUCACGCCAAACCACCACGUGAGGGGGAACUCAGCCAACGCCAAGGAACGACUAUGUUUCAAAAUAAAAAUAUGAUUUAUGCGAAAUGUGAAUUUUUAACAACCUUGGCAGUCUCGGUAGGAUGCCUCAGCUAAGGUGUCCCUGAAAAUGGAUUUAUGGCACAAGCUUAGUUUUUAUGAGAUUCAUAAGCCUCUUCACGUAUUUUAAAUGAAAUGUAUUCUAAUGCUGUGACCCAGUUUACGAUGAUUUACUUUAUUGUCUCCAUGUACUCAACUCUAGAUGUUUCUGAUGAUGUCUGUUUACUCAUUGGGAUUUUAUAAUCUCACCACCCUCAUUUCCACCCAUUUCAGGUUCAGUAUAGACUGUAGAUAGUUGAUCUCAUCGAAGACUACCGUUGGAUCUGCAUUUUUCAAACUGUAGGUUCACAGUCCUCUUUACUUUUGUUUAUUCGAGGGCCCUCUUGUUAUUGUAAAUUUAAUUAAAUAUUUUGGCUUACUGUAUUACAGUAUGUAUGAAUUUAUUUAACUUUUACGCUAUAAAAAUUAUUUACGUAUAACUCUAAAAAUAUUGUUUUAUAAGAAAAUAGAAUAUUUUACUUAACAUUUCUUUUAUUUUCUUAGUAUAUCUAAAUAAUCAAAAUUUCAUUUUAAAUGAAGAUUUUAGACUUUAAAACUCACUUUUGAUUAUGAAUUAUGUGUUUUGUAAUUGUAAAUUACAUUUUAGCCGGUUUUGAAAUUUUUGGGAAAAAAUGACUAAAAUACCCCUGUAAGACAAAAAUUAUUAUUUUAUUUGUUUUGAGUUGAAAACAGCUUAAAAUCUUCUAGAACAUGAUUGUCGGCAACGGUUACUCACGGGGGAAGCGAGAUACUGAUAUUAAGUAUUACGGGGUCCUGGUUGGCAUUUCAGGAAAUGAGUGUCUAUCAAGGUACCGCGACAGUUGUCACGGGCUCGAGGGGAAUACCGAGUCGUGACACAACCCCUCGAUGUCAAAUACUACACUGAUGAUG
rnacentral:lncRNA from 1 species